UACGGAGGGUGCAAACGUUGCUCGGAAUCAUUGGGCGUAAAGCGCACGUAGGCGGCCCGCUAAGUCGGGUGUGAAAUCCCUCGGCUCAACCGAGGAAGUGCACUCGAAACUGUCGGGCUUGAAUAUGGAAGAGGGUCGCGGAAUUCCCGGUGUAGAGGUGAAAGUCGUAGAUAUCGGGAGGAACACCAGUGGCGAAGGCGGCGACCUGGGCCAAUAUUGACGCUGAGGUGCGAAAGCGUGGGGAGCAAACAGG
rnacentral:rRNA from 1 species